UGGGCAACCUGCCCUCAGCACUGGGAUAACUCCGGGAAACCGGAGCUAAUACCGGAUACGAGACCGAUUGGCAUCUUUACGGUCUGGAAAGUUUUUCGGCCAGGGAUGGGCUCGCGGCCUAUCAGCUUGUUGGUGAGGUAAUGGCUCACCAAGGCGACGACGGGUAGCCGGCCUGAGAGGGCGAUCGGCCACACUGGGACUGAGACACGGCCCAGACCUCCGUACGGGAGCA
rnacentral:rRNA from 1 species